rnacentral:rRNA from 1 species
GAUGAACGCUGGCGGCGUGCUUAACACAUGCAAGUCGAACGUGAGAGGUAGCAAUAUCUUGAAAGUGGCGCACGGGUGAGUAACACGUAGGUAACCUGCCUCGGAGUGGGGGAUAACAGUUAGAAAUGACUGCUAAUACCGCAUGAAUCCAUUAAGAUGGGAAUGUUGAUGGAGAAAACUCUGGUGCUUCGAGAGGGGCCUGCGGUCGAUUAGCUAGUUGGUGGGGUAACGGCCCACCAAGGCGACGAUCAAUAGCUGGUCUGAGAGGACGAUCAGCCACACUGGGACUGAGACACGGCCCAGACUCCUACGGGAGCAGCAGUGGGGAAUAUUGGACAAUGGGCGCAAGCCUGAUCCAGCAAUACCGCGUGUGUGAAGAAGGCCCUAGGGUUGUAAAGCACUUUCAAUUGGGAGGAAAAACCUGCCGGUCAAUACCCGGCAGCUUGACAUUACCUUUAGAAGAAGCAACCGGCUAAACUCCGUGCCAGCAGCCGCGGUAA